rnacentral:rRNA from 1 species
UACGUAGGCAGCGAGCGUUGUUCGGAAUUACUGGGCGUAAAGAGUGUGUAGGCGGUGCUCUAAGUUCGGUGUGAAAUCUCCUGGCUUAACUGGGAGGGUGCGCCGGAAACUGGGGUGCUCGAGCGUGGGAGAGGAAAGCGGAAUUCCUGGUGUAGCGGUGAAAUGCGCAGAUAUCAGGAGGAACACCGGUGGCGAAGGCGGGUCUCUGGGCCGUUACUGACGCUGAGGAGCGAAAGCGUGGGGAGCGAACAGG